UUGACCUCGGAUCAGGUAGGGAUACCCGCUGAACUUAAGCAUAUCAAUAAGCGGAGGAAAAGAAACCAACAGGGAUUACCUCAGUAACGGGGAAAGGGGGGGGAAAAAAAAAUUAAUGUUUUUAAGAGGAUAGGGAAAUGAAUAACAUGGAAUCAGAUUUUUUGGUAAUUUUGAAAAACCUAAAGAAAGAAAAAAAAAAGAU
rnacentral:rRNA from 1 species